rnacentral:tRNA from 1 species
GGAUCUUUGGCUGAGUUGGUCUAUAGCACCGGUCUUGAAAACCGGCGAGGGUAAUACCUCCCAGAGUUCGAAUCUCUGAGGGUCCACCA